rnacentral:rRNA from 1 species
AGUGAACGCUGGCGGUAGGCCUAACACAUGCAAGUCGAACGGCAGCACAGUAAGAGCUUGCUCUUACGGGUGGCGAGUGGCGGACGGGUGAGGAAUACAUCGGAAUCUACUUUUUCGUGGGGGAUAACGUAGGGAAACUUACGCUAAUACCGCAUACGACCUACGGGGGAAAGCAGGGGAUCUUCGGACCUUGCGCGAUUGAAUGAGCCGAUGUCGGAUUAGCUAGUUGGCGGGGUAAAGGCCCACCAAGGCGACGAUCCGUAGCUGGUCUGAGAGGAUGAUCAGCCACACUGGAACUGAGACACGGUCCAGACUCCUACGGGAGGCAGCAGUGGGGAAUAUUGGACAAUGGGCGCAAGCCUGAUCCAGCCAUACCGCGUGGGUGAAGAAGGCGUUCGGGUUGUAAAGCCCUUUUGUUGGGAAAGAAAAGCAGCAGGUUAAUACCCCGCUGUUCUGACGGUACCCAAAGAAUAAGCACCGGCUAACUUCGUG